rnacentral:rRNA from 1 species
AGCGGAGGAAAGGAAACUAACAAGGAUUCCCCUAGUAACGGCGAGUGAACCGGGAAGAGCUCAAAUUUGAAAUCUGGCGUCCUCAGGGCGUCCGAGUUGUAAUCUAUAGAGGCGUUUUCCGUGCCGGACCGUGUCCAAGUUCCUUGGAACAGGAUAUCAAAGAGGGUGACAAUCCCGUACUUGACACGACGACCGGUGCUCUGUGAUACGUCUUCUACGAGUCGAGUUGUUUGGGAAUGCAGCUCAAAAUGGGUGGUGAGUUCCAUCUAAAGCUAAAUAUUGGCGAGAGACCGAUAGCGAACAAGUACCGUGAGGGAAAGAUGAAAAGCACUUUGGAAAGAGAGUUAAACAGUACGUGAAAUUGUUGAAAGGGAAACGAUUGAAGUCAGUCGUGACCGAGAGGCUCAGCCGGUUCUGCCGGUGUAUUCCCCUCGGUCGGGUCAACAUCAGUUUUGUCCGGUGGAUAAGGGCGGUAGGAAGGUGGCACCCUCGGGUGUGUUAUAGCCUGCCGUCGCAUACAUCGGGUGAGACUGAGGAACGCAGCUCGCCUUUAUGGCCGGGGUUCGCCCACGUCCGAGCUUAGGAUGUUGACAUAAUGGCUUUAAACGACCCGUCU